ACAUUCGUUAGUGUUGCUACUUGUGCAUGGGUUUAGCAAGUAGGGAAUUUGAUCCUGAAACCCAGGUCUUUGAAUUUCCCUCUGCACUGCUUGUAUUUUAUCACCUGUUGUGCUCUCUCUGACAUCAGCCCCCUGUAGGCUGUAAGAAAAUACAGCUAAGCCCUCAAAACUUUCAUUAAAAAUGGACUUAGGUUAUUAAGUAACAUUUUAACUGUUUAUUAUGUGUUAGAAACUGCCAUCAACAUCGGUUAUGCCUGCAACAUGCUGACUGAUGACAUGAAUGAUGUGUUUGUGAUAGCAGGGAAUAAUGCUGUGGAAGUGAGAGAAGAACUCAGGCUCAUGCCCUAGAAAGUGAUGUGAAGAAUGAUCUCCUAGAACUUGCUUGCAUGUGUAAGACUGUGGUUUGCUGCAGGGUCACUCCACUCCAGAAAGCCCAAGUGGUAGAGCUGGUGAAGAAGUACAGAAAUGCUGUUACUUUGGCCAUUGGUGAUGGAGCCAAUGAUGUCAGCAUGAUUAAAAGUGCUCACAUUGGUGUUGGCAUCAGCGGCCAGGAAGGAUUACAAGCAGUCUUAGCCAGCGACUAUUCAUUUGCACAGUUUA
rnacentral:sRNA from 1 species